UACAGAGGUCUCAAGCGUUGUUCGGAUUCAUUGGGCGUAAAGGGUGCGUAGGUGGCGUCGUAAGUCGGGUGUGAAAUUUCGGAGCUUAACUCCGAAACUGCAUUCGAUACUGCGGUGCUUGAGGACUGGAGAGGAGACUGGAAUUUACGGUGUAGCAGUGAAAUGCGUAGAUAUCUGGAGGAACACCGGUGGCGAAGGCGGCAUCCUGGACCACGACUGACGCUGAGUGAGCGAAAGCCCAGGGGAGCAAACGGG
rnacentral:rRNA from 1 species